rnacentral:rRNA from 1 species
GAUGAACGCUAGCUACAGGCUUAACACAUGCAAGUCGAGGGGUAACAAGAGAAAAGCUUGCUUUUUUGUUGACGACCGGCGCACGGGUGAGUAACGCGUAUCCAACCUGCCUAUAACUAGGGAAUAACCUUGCGAAAGUAAGACUAAUACCCUAUGAUUUCCUUUGAUGGCAUCAGAUUAGGAAUAAAGAUUUAUCGGUUAUAGAUGGGGAUGCGUCUGAUUAGCUUGUUGGCGGGGUAACGGCCCACCAAGGCAACGAUCAGUAGGGGUUCUGAGAGGAAGGUCCCCCACAUUGGGACUGAGACACGGUCCAAACUCCUACGGGAGGCAGCAGUGAGGAAUAUUGGUCAAUGGGCGGAAGCCUGAACCAGCCAAGUAGCGUGCAGGAUGACGGCCCUAUGGGUUGUAAACUGCUUUUAUACAGGAAUAAAGUUAGCCACGUGUGGUUAUUUGUAGGUACUGUAUGAAUAAGGACCGGCUAAUUCCGUGCCAGCCGCCGCGGUAA